GGAGGUUGUGCCCUUGAGGUGUGGCUUCCGGAGCUAACGCGUUAAGUCGACCGCCUGGGGAGUACGGCCGCAAGGUUAAAACUCAAAUGAAUUGACGGGGGCCCGCACAAGCGGUGGAGCAUGUGGUUUAAUUCGAUGCAACGCGAAGAACCUUACCUGGUCUUGACAUCCACGGAAGUUUUCAGAGAUGAGAAUGUGCCUUCGGGAACCGUGAGACAGGUGCUGCAUGGCUGUCGUCAGCUCGUGUUGUGAAAUGUUGGGUUAAGUCCCGCAACGAGCGCAACCCUUAUCCUUUGUUGCCAGCGGUCCGGCCGGGAACUCAAAGGAGACUGCCAGUGAUAAACUGGAGGAAGGUGGGGAUGACGUCAAGUCAUCAUGGCCCUUACGACCAGGGCUACACACGUGCUACAAUGGCGCAUACAAAGAGAAGCGACCUCGCGAGAGCAAGCGGACCUCAUAAAGUGCGUCGUAGUCCGGAUUGGAGUCUGCAACUCGACUCCAUGAAGUCGGAAUCGCUAGUAAUCGUGGAUCAGAAUGCCACGGUGAAUACGUUCCCGGGCCUUGUACACACCGCCCGUCACACCAUGGGAGUGGGUUGCAAAAGAAGUAGGUAGCUUAACCUUCGGGAGGGCGCUUACCACUUUGUGAUUCAUGACUGGGGUGAAGUCGUAACAAGGUAACCGUAGGGGAACCUGCGGUUGGAUCACCUCCUUACCUUAAAGAAGC
rnacentral:rRNA from 1 species